CCUACGGGAGGCAGCAGUGGGGAAUAUUGGACAAUGGGCGAAAGCCUGAUCCAGCAAUUCCGCGUGUGUGAAGAAGGCCUUCGGGUUGUAAAGCACUUUAGUGGGGGAAGAAACAGCUUGGCCACACCAAGCCUUGACGGUACCCCAAGAAUAAGCACCGGCUAACUCUGUGCCAGCAGCCGCGGUAAUACAGAGGGUGCAAGCGUUAAUCGGAUUUACUGGGCGUAAAGGGUGCGUAGGUGGCUAUUUAAGUCGGAUGUGAAAGCCCGGGGCUCAACCUCGGAAUUGCAUUCGAUACUGAGUGGCUAGAGUUCGGUAGAGGGCGGCGGAAUUUCCGGUGUAGCGGUGAAAUGCGUAGAUAUCGGAAGGAACAUCAAUGGCGAAGGCAGCCGCCUGGGCCUGGACUGACACUGAGGCACGAAAGCGUGGGUAGCAAACAGGAUUAGAUACCCUGGUAGUCCACGCCGUAAACGAUGAGAACUUGACGUUGGUUCGUUUUACGAAUCGGUGUCGCAGCUAACGCGAUAAGUUCUCCGCCUGGGGAGUACGGCCGCAAGGUUGAAACUUAAAGAGUAAUGACGNUGAGNGUGACGAGGCACGACGGAGGGUAGAGG
rnacentral:rRNA from 1 species